GCUCCUGUCGUCUAAUGGCUAGGACGCCAGACUUCUAAUCUGGCGGUUGUGGGUUCGAGUCCCACCAGGAGUU